AUGAGCGUCCUAACUGGGGAUAAUCGCGGGUCCGUUACCGUCCCCUGUGUCUUCGAUUGGAAACUCGAAUCUACCUAUCGACUUCGCUGUUUCCGAGACAACGCAAGCGGAGGACUGAGCGAGCCGUUCCCUCGUGAAUGCGGAGAUCCGGGCUCCCAAUGCAGGAUCACCAGCACCGUAGAGAGCAAUAGAGUCACGCUAACAAUCCGGAACACGCAGAGAAACGAUAGCGGGCGAUAUUACUGCGCUGAAAAAGUUAUCAGCUCACUGAGAUUCUCUAACGAGUCAGUUGUGAUCGUGUCUGGAGAUGAUUCCUCUGUGAAUCGGUCAGUCUCUAUCCUGGCCCCACUGGCUGUCUCUGGCAGCGCGCUCGAUUCCCAGGCGACCCUGACAUUAGUGUGUCUAAUCCGGGGCCUCUCCUCGCCCUCGGUCCGGGUCCGGUGGUUCAUUUCCGGUAACUUCGCGGCGGAGGGAACGCCGAGCUCCGGGAUCAAAGUGAAGGAGGGCGGAGAGGGACAGGGAGACGGAGAGAGCUACGCCGCUACGAGCCGCCUGACAAUCCCGGUGGAGACGUGGAGAAGCGGGGCUGAGUGCGCAUGCGAAGCGCAGUUGAACUGGAACACUUCUAUCCGCAGCGGGAAUGUUUCAUACGCUGGGAUUCACGUGGCGGGUCUGGUUGCAGAGCGGUGCCUGGUUCAGUACGCCGUGUUCUCCGGGGUCUCCCUCCUCGCUCUCUCCGCGGCUCUCUGCGGCUGCGCGCUGUGGACCCGCCGCCGCUUCAAAACAGCGUCCACUGAAGACUCCACGCAUGUAAUUUACAAAAGGACCCCCGGCAGCGGAGAUACAAAGAGGAGAGAUGAAGAGGGCAGUCUGGUCACCUACGCGAGCUUGGACUUUGAAUCCCAGAAGAAGAACAGAAAGAAGAGACACAUAUAAUAAUAAUAAUAAUAAUAAUAAUAAUGAAUCCUUUGGA